GCCCACCCACCCCCCGCCUCUGGAAGCCGGGCCGGUCAUAUGAUCGCUGACGUCACCGCUCCGCGCCAUCGUCACGUGACCCGCCCCUUCUUACCGGAAGGGGGACCGUCUCUAUCUAUGAGAGAUUCAAUCCUCUUUUUCAAGUCUCCAGGCUACAAGAAAAAGAUAUAAUUGGCAUUGUAUUUAAUAAUGGUUGUCAACCAGGGGUACGCAGUGAUGGAAUGCUGCCACCCCGCACUAUUGCCUCACAGAAGCAAGGACCGCACAGACGCCACAUUACUGCCGCUCGCCACCCCCAUCUCCCCACUCCACGUCUGGCUGUUCGCCACCCCGCCGCAUCCAGCUACUCACCUCCCUCCCCCCAACCCCGGGAGGUUUAAUACACUUAUUAAAACGGAGGUUGUUGGGGGUACAUUUAUUAAAAAAAGGUUGAAAACCCCUGUAUUAACAUAUACACUUUAAUAUCUGAAUUGGUGAUUUGGCUAUAACAUUCUGCACUAUUCUUCUUCAACAUCUAACAAGGUUCAAGAUAAAUGGAAAAACUAAGCAACACUUUCUAGUAUUUUGAAAUAGUUUUAAGAUGGUUCAAA